rnacentral:rRNA from 1 species
UACGUAGGGUGCGAGCGUUGUCCGGAAUUAUUGGGCGUAAAGAGCUCGUAGGCGGUGUGUCACGUCGAUCGUGAAAACUUUCAGCUUAACUGGGAGCUUGCGGUCGAUACGGGCAUCACUGGAGUUCGGCAGGGGAGACUGGAAUUCAAGGUGUAGCGGUGAAAUGCGCAGAUAUCUUGAGGAACACCGGUGGCGAAGGCGGGAUCCUGGGCCAGUACUGACGCUGAGGAGCGAAAGCGUGGGGAGCAAACAGG